AGCAUUCUCUGGUGUUGAAGGCCCUGCAAAGCAGCAUCGCGGUGGCGGAGCGUCGUUUGCGACGCCCAACACACAAAACAAGCGGUGAGUGCUUUGGGGUGGGGUGACUGCGUACCUUUUGUAUAAUGGGUCAGCGACUUAUAUUCUGUAGCAAGGUUAACCGAAUAGGGGAGCCGGAGGGAAACCGAGUCUUAAUUGGGCGUUAAGUUGCAGGGUAUAGACCCGAAACCCGGUGAUCUAGCCAUGGGCAGGUUGAAGGUUGGGUAACACUAACUGGAGGACCGAACCGACUAAUGUUGAAAAAUUAGCGGAUGACCUGUGGCUGGGGGUGAAAGGCCAAUCAAACCGGGAGAUAGCUGGUUCUCCCCGAAAGCUAUUUAGGUAGCGCCUCGUGAAUUCAUCUCCGGGGGUAGAGCACUGUUUCGGCUAGGGGGCCAUCCCGGCUUACCAACCCGAUGCAAACUGCGAAUACCGGAGAAUGUUAUCACGGGAGACACACGGCGGGUGCUAACGUCCGUCGUGAAGAGGGAAACAACCCAGACCGCCAGCUAAGGUCCCAAAGUCAUGGUUAAGUGGGAAACGAUGUGGGAAGGCCCAGACAGCCAGGAUGUUGGCUUAGAAGCAGCCAUCAUUUAAAGAAAGCGUAAUAGCUCACUGGUCGAGUCGGCCUGCGCGGAAGAUGUAACGGGGCUAAACCAU
rnacentral:rRNA from 5 species